CUGAGCCAGAUUGAGAUGGAGAUCCUGACCCAGACAUUUGCCAAUCUUCACUGUAUACAGAAUAUACAAAGAAUUGGAAACUAAGUCUGCAAUGGCACACAAAGGAAGAAUGAAUAAAAUAAUCUAAGAAAAUGGCAACAAGGAGCAGCUGCUUCCCUUACCAUCAGAUCGGCAACAGAAGAAACUGGCCCUGAUAAAGGACUAGGAAUGGACUGACAAAGUCAAGAAACUGUAGGUUAGACUCUGGAAAGAUAGGGAAGGAAUGCUAUAGGAUACACUGAUAAAAGGUAAACUGCUUUUCCACAGAAAUAUUAAUAAAAGAUUAAAUGCCUGA